rnacentral:lncRNA from 1 species
AACCCACGUAUGAACCAAUAAGGAUACGUAGUACACCAGGAGUCGGCAAUAAGGCGCCUGAAGGUUUUAGGCGGGAACGGUUGAUCAGUGAGCGUAACUUUCACGAUCAUGGUUACAACCACUCCCCCCACUACUUUCAACCAACCAAUAAUGUGGGUUGAUAUUACUAUAAAUAGUAAUUUCGAAGCCUGCAAUAGGGGUCUUUCUUUCCCCUGAACGAGAAAACAACCACAUUUUCAUAUCUUUUCUUUCCUGCAUUUAUUGCUUUCUAGGAGUAGUCUAAAUGUAAUAUUUUCUUUUUCGCAUUUACUAUUUUCCUAGGAGUAGCUUUUAAGUAGAACCCUAGAAUCUGUCUACCCCACGGGCAUCACUCCGUUGUAAACUAAAUAUCCAUCCCUGUAGCGGACCAAAUCGCGUGUUGUUUUAGCCAUUCGGCUCUUCUUCCGGCUUAAUUUCCGGCCUGCUAUAUAUAUUUGACUCAUUCCAGCCGAACCGAAACAAAUAGUAGUGGUUUUUGAACUCGGCUGGCUCGAUCCCUCGUCAGCCGAAUCGCUUGAUCUGUCAAAGGGCGCAAACUUCGAGGGU